GACGAACGCUGGCGGCGUGCCUAAUACAUGCAAGUCGAGCGAAUGGAUUAAGAGCUUGCUCUUAUGAAGUUAGCGGCGGACGGGUGAGUAACACGUGUGUAACCUGCCCAUAAGACUGGGAUAACUCCGGGAAACCGGGGCUAAUACCGGAUAACAUUUUGAACCGCAUGGUUCGAAAUUGAAAGGCGGCUUCGGCUGUCACUUAUGGAUGGACCCGCGUCGCAUUAGCUAGUUGGUGAGGUAACGGCUCACCAAGGCAACGAUGCGUAGCCGACCUGAGAGGGUGAUCGGCCACACUGGGACUGAGACACGGCCCAGACGCCUACGGGAGGCAGCAGUAGGGAAUCUUCCGCAAUGGACGAAAGUCUGACGGAGCAACGCCGCGUGAGUGAUGAAGGCUUUCGGGUCGUAAAACUCUGUUGUUAGGGAAGAACAAGUGCUAGUUGAAUAAGCUGGCACCUUGACGGUACCUAACCAGAAAGCCACGGCUAACUACGUGCCAGCCGCCGCAGUAA
rnacentral:rRNA from 1 species